rnacentral:rRNA from 1 species
CGUGUAGGCGGUUUUUUAAGUCAGAUGUGAAAGUUCGGGGCUCAACUCCGGAAUUGCAUCUGAUACUGGAGAACUUGAGUACUGGAGAGGUAAGUGGAAUUCCUAGUGUAGCGGUGAAAUGCGUAGAUAUUAGGAGGAACACCAGUGGCGAAGGCGACUUACUGGACAGAUACUGACGCUGAGGCGCGAAAGCGUGGGGAGCGAACA